GUUUGAAUCACUGAUUAAGACGAGGAGGGUAUUGUUCUCUCAGCUCGUCAGGAAAGCUCAUCCGAGCCGAGCAUCAUGCCCAAGCCUUCAUUGGCGACUCUAGUAGGAGGUUUCCUACUUUUCCGGAUUAUAUUGUCAUCCAAUUUAUAGAAAAAGAAUGAUCCGCGUGACAAAUGGUUGGUUCAAGAUUUAAUUUUCUCAAGAUGUGGUUUCUCCACUUCUUUCAUCAAGCGUCUUGUUGUCCCGAGGAGUUGG